UACCAGACUCCUACGGGAGGCAGCAGUGGGGAAUAUUGCACAAUGGGGGAAACCCUGAUGCAGCGACGCCGCGUGAGCGAUGAAGUAUUUCGGUAUGUAAAGCUCUAUCAGCAGGGAAGAAGAUGACGGUACCUGACUAAGAAGCCCCGGCUAACUACGUGCCAGCAGCCGCGGUAAUACGUAGGGGGCAAGCGUUAUCCGGAUUUACUGGGUGUAAAGGGAGCGUAGACGGCGAUGCAAGCCAGAUGUGAAAGCCCGGGGCUCAACCCCGGGACUGCAUUGGAAACUGCCGGGCUGGAGUGCCGGAGGGGCAAGCGGAAUUCCUGGUGUAGCGGUGAAAUGCGCAGAUAUCAGGAAGAACACCGGUGGCGCAGGCGGCUUGCUGGACGGCAACUGACGCUGAGGCUCGAAAGCGUGGGGAGCAAACAGGAUUAGAUACCCUCGUA
rnacentral:rRNA from 1 species